rnacentral:tRNA from 1 species
CACGGGAUAGCUUAUACCAAAAAGCCCUCAACUUACAAUUGAACCAUGUCCACUUAUAGGACUCCCCUGA